UCGAGAAUUUUUCACAAUGGGCGCAAGCCUGAUGGAGCGACGCCGCGUGGGGGAUGAAGGGCUUCGGCUCGUAAACCCCUGUCAUUUGCGAACAAGGCUUACGGCUUAAUACGUCGUAAGUUGAUAGUAGCGAAAGAGGAAGGGACGGCUAACUCUGUGCCAGCAGCCGCGGUAAUACAGAGGUCCCAAGCGUUGUUCGGAUUUACUGGGCGUAAAGGGUGCGUAGGUGGUGGGGUAAGUCUGAUGUGAAAUCUCCGGGCUUAACUCGGAAAUGGCAUUGGAAACUACCUUGCUAGAGGAUUGGAGGGGGGACUGGAAUGCUCGGUGUAGCAGUGAAAUGCGUAGAUAUCGAGCGGAACACCAGUGGCGAAGGCGAGUCCCUGGACAAUUCCUGACACUGAGGCACGAAAGCUAGGGGAGCAAACAG
rnacentral:rRNA from 1 species